rnacentral:lncRNA from 1 species
UACAAUAUGUUGAAUGAACUUUACGUCUGUUUCAAUCCUACCUACUACUGGAAUAUAAAUAUAAAAAAACAACCACUUGACCAACUGGAAUGACUAGUUUGGGGAUGGUUGAUCUGUAUUGAAAAUCCUACCUACUACAAAAGAGAGGAUGGAGUUUUACUGUUCAUUUUUGGGCCAUUUUCACACUAGGAUUGGUUUCAAACUGGUUCAUUCUGUUGUUUUAAUAACGCAUGGGUCGACUUUGACCAAUAAAUAAUGAAAUUGAGAAAACGCAGCUAAAAAUGGACAUAAGUAUUUACGUGAUUCACCCAAAUUUUGGCUACGUUCACGGGCAAGUAUAGGAGGAUUUUACUAUAGUAGGAGAAUUACAACAACUCUCUAAAUACAAGGGGAUACCAACAAUUAAUAUCUCUUUUAAUAGAAAAAACAAGUAGGAAAUACUAUAGGAAGAAACAAUAAUUUUUCUCUCUAUUUUUAUCUCUCUACUCACAAUUUUCUCUCCACUCAAUAUUUUCUUUUCUCUCAAUUUUUUUCUCUCCAACACGGCUUAUUUCACUUGGCGUGUUAAUUCUCUAUUUAUAGAGAAAUUUGGCUUCAAACCGUCUCACUUUGUUUGGCUCAAAACUUGCCAUCAAGGUGCAUAUGAAAGAGGAGAGUAGGAUGCAUGUGAGAGCCUGGUUGGAGAAUUAAUAGCCUUGCAUGUGGGAGACUUGUUCAUAAAGAAAGUGGCUGGACCAAAGCUCAAAAAUUCCACUGCCUAUGUAUUAAAUGCUUGCAUGAAUUUUGUCAUUUUGUAGUUAAAAUUUGUGGCUUUAAUUUUCAACAUUUCUCCCACUUAAAGUCACUUUUGUUGACCACUUCAAUCCUACCCAUACUUGCCAUUUCCAUGCCACUUACGUUUCUGCCAAGCCGAUAGAGGAUCGACACCAAAUGAACUUGUCAGUACCGAUUGGCUUUGUCAACAUAUCUGCUAGGUUGUCCAUUGUAUGGAUUUUCUAUAUAUCCACACUUCCUUUUUCUACCUUCUCUCGAACAAAGUGAUACUAGACUCGAAUAUGCUUUGUCCUCUGAUGAAAUACUGGAUUCUUUACCAAAUGCAAAGCACUCUGACUAUCACAAAAUAGAGUAAUCUUCUCUUGUUUGUGUCCGAGCUCCUCCAUUAACAUUUGUAACAAGAUUGUCUCUUUCCUGGCUUGUGUAGCUGCCACGUAUUCUGCUCCGUCGUAGAAGUAGCCACGAUAGGCUGUAGUUUCGAAACCCAG